GAUGAACGCUGGCGGCGUGCCUAAUACAUGCAAGUCGAACGCAUUGUGGUUGAAAUGAUAUGAAGAACUUGUUCAGAUUUGAUUUUCAACAUUGCAAUGAGUGGCGAACGGGUGAGUAACACGUGGGAAACCUACCUCUUAGCAGGGGAUAACAUUUGGAAACAAAUGCUAAUACCGUAUAAUAAUUAAAACCGCAUGGUUUUAGUUUAAAAGAUGGUCUUGCUAUCACUAAGAGAUGGUCCCGCGGUGUAUUAGUUAGUUGGUGAGGUAAUGGCUCACCAAGACAAUGAUACAUAGCCGAGUUGAGAGACUGACCGGCCACAAUGGGACUGAGACACGGCCCAUACUCCUACGGGAGGCAGCAGUAGGGAAUCUUCCACAAUGGACGAAAGUCUGAUGGAGCAACGCCGCGUGUGUGAUGAAGGGUUUCGGCUCGUAAAACACUGUUGUAAGAGAAGAAUGACAUUGAGAGUAACUGUUCAAUGUGUGACGGUAUCUUAACC
rnacentral:rRNA from 1 species